GAUGAACGCUAGCUACAGGCUUAACACAUGCAAGUCGAGGGGCAGCAUGGUCUUAGCUUGCUAAGGCCGAUGGCGACCGGCGCACGGGUGAGUAACACGUAUCCAACCUGCCGUCUACUCUUGGACAGACUUCUGAAAGGAAGAUUAAUACAAGAUGGCAUCAUGAGUCCGCAUGUUCACAUGAUUAAAGGUAUUACGGUAGACGAUGGGGAUGCGUUCCAUUAGAUAGUAGGCGGGGUAACGGCCCACCUAGUCUUCGAUGGAUAGGGUUUCUGAAAGAAAGGUCCCCCACAUUGGAAAUGCGACCCGGUCCAAACUCCUACGGGAGGCAGCAGUGAGGAAUAUUGUUCAAUGGGCGAGAGCCUGAACCAGCCAAGUAGCGUGAAGGAUGACUGCCCUAUGGGUUGUAAACUUCUUUUAUAAAGGAAUAAAGUCGGGUAUGCAUACCCGUUUGCAUGUACCUUAUGAAUAAUGACCGGCUAAUUCCGUGCCAGCAGCCGCGGUAA
rnacentral:rRNA from 1 species